CAGAGAACUUGCCCUUCGGGGUAGAUCUCCCACCCUUUGUUUACAAUACCAUUGUUGCUUUGGCAGGCCCGUCUUCGGGCCACCGGCUUCGGCUGGUCAGUGCCUGCCAAAGGACCCAAAACUCUUUAUAAUUUAUUGUCUGAGUACUAUAUAAUAGUUAAAACUUUCAACAACGGAUCUCUUGGUUCUGGCAUCGAUGAAGAACGCAGCGAAAUGCGAUAAGUAAUGUGAAUUGCAGAAUUCAGUGAAUCAUCGAAUCUUUGAACGCACAUUGCGCCCUCUGGUAUUCCGGGGGGCAUGCCUGUUCGAGCGUCAUUACAACCCUCAAGCUCUGCUUGGUAUUGGGCUUCACCCGUAAGGGCGGGCCUUAAAAUCAGUGGCGGUGCCAUUCGGCUUCAAGCGUAGUAAUUUUCUCGCUUCGGAGUACCGGCUGUGUGCCUGCCAGCAAACCCCAAAUUUUUUAAAGG
rnacentral:misc_RNA from 1 species